UACGUAGGGGGCAAGCGUUGUCCGGAAUUAUUGGGCGUAAAGCGCGCGCAGGCGGUUUUUUAAGUCUGGUGUAUAAACCUUGGGCUCAACUUAAGGAGGCACUGGAAACUGGGGAACUGGAGUGUAGGAGAGGAAAGUGGAAUUCCACGUGUAGCGGUGAAAUGCGUAGAGAUGUGGAGGAACACCAGUGGCGAAGGCGGGUCUCUGGGCAGUAACUGACGCUGAGGAGCGAAAGCGUGGGGAGCGAACAGG
rnacentral:rRNA from 1 species